rnacentral:rRNA from 1 species
GAUGAACGCUAGCUACAGGCUUAACACAUGCAAGUCGAGGGGCAGCAUUUUAGUUUGCUUGCAAACUAAAGAUGGCGACCGGCGCGCGGGUGAGUAACACGUAUCCAACCUGCCGAUAACUCGGGGAUAGCCUUUCGAAAGAAAGAUUAAUAUCCGAUGGUAUAUUAAAACCGCAUGGUUUUACUAUUAAAGAAUUUCGGUUAUCGAUGGGGAUGCGUUCCAUUAGUUUGUUGGCGGGGUAACGGCCCACCAAGACUACGAUGGAUAGGGGUUCUGAGAGGAAGGUCCCCCACAUUGGAACUGAGACACGGUCCAAACUCCUACGGGAGGCAGCAGUGAGGAAUAUUGGUCAAUGGACGAGAGUCUGAACCAGCCAAGUAGCGUGAAGGAUGACUGCCCUAUGGGUUGUAAACUUCUUUUAUAUGGGAAUAAAGUAUUCCACGUGUGGGAUUUUGUAUGUACCAUAUGAAUAAGGAUCGGCUAACUCCGUGCCAGCAGCCGCGGUAAUACGGAGGAUCCGAGCGUUAUCCGGAUUUAUUGGGUUUAAAGGGAGCGUAGGUGGAUUGUUAAGUCAGUUGUGAAAGUUUGCGGCUCAACCGUAAAAUUGCAGUUGAAACUGGCAGUCUUGAGUACAGUAGAGGUGGGCGGAAUUCGUGGUGUAGCGGUGAAAUGCUUAGAUAUCACGAAGAACUCCGAUUGCGAAGGCAGCUCACUAGACUGCAACUGACACUGAUGCUCGAAAGUGUGGGUAUCAAACAGGAUUAGAUACCCUGGUAGUCCACACAGUAAACGAUGAAUACUCGCUGUUUGCGAUAUACAGUAAGCGGCCAAGCGAAAGCAUUAAGUAUUCCACCUGGGGAGUACGCCGGCAACGGUGAAACUCAAAGGAAUUGACGGGGGCCCGCACAAGCGGAGGAACAUGUGGUUUAAUUCGAUGAUACGCGAGGAACCUUACCCGGGCUUAAAUUGCAUUUGAAUAAUCUGGAAACAGGUUAGCCGUAAGGCAAAUGUGAAGGUGCUGCAUGGUUGUCGUCAGCUCGUGCCGUGAGGUGUCGGCUUAAGUGCCAUAACGAGCGCAACCCUUAUCUUUAGUUACUAACAGGUCAUGCUGAGGACUCUAGAGAGACUGCCGUCGUAAGAUGUGAGGAAGGUGGGGAUGACGUCAAAUCAGCACGGCCCUUACGUCCGGGGCUACACACGUGUUACAAUGGGGGGUACAGAAGGCAGCUACCUGGUGACAGGAUGCUAAUCCCAAAAACCUCUCUCAGUUCGGAUCGAAGUCUGCAACCCGACUUCGUGAAGCUGGAUUCGCUAGUAAUCGCGCAUCAGCCAUGGCGCGGUGAAUACGUUCCCGGGCCU